UCAUGUUGAACACUGAUUCCCAUACAAUCACCAAAGUUAAGCAAUGUUGAGCCUGGUCACUAGUUAGAUGGGUAACUGCUUGGGAAUACCAGGUGCUGUAAG